rnacentral:rRNA from 1 species
GCUGGCGUCUUCGGCGUCCGCAUUGUAAUCUCAAGAAGUGUUUUCCGCUUCGGACCAUGCCUAAGUCCCUUGGAAAAGGGCAUCAUAGAGGGUGAUAAUCCCGUACAUGGCAUGGAGCGCCCGAAGCUUUGUGAUACGCUUUCUAAGAGUCGAGUUGUUUGGGAAUGCAGCUCAAAAUGGGUGGUAAAUGCCAUCUAAGGCUAAAUAUUGGGGAGAGACCGAUAGCGAACAAGUACAGUGAUGGAAAGAUGAAAAGAACUUUGAAAAGAGAGUUAAACAGUACGUGAAAUUGCCAAAAGGGAAGGGUAGGAGGUCAGAGAUGCGGCCUGGGAUUCAGCCUUGCUUUUGCUUGGUGUUUUUCCCAGAUUGCAGGCCAACGUCGGUUUUGGGCACUGGAGAAGGGUAGGAGGAACGUGGCACCUCUCGGGGUGUGUUAUAGCCUCCUACUGGAUACAGCGACCGAGACCGAGGACAGCAGCGUACUCGCAAGAGCGGGCCUUCGGGCACCUUUACGCUUAGGGCGUUGGCAU